GGACGAACGCUGGCGGCGUGGAUUAGGUAUGCAAGUCGAACGGUAUGGUGCUUUCGGGCAUCAGAGAGUGGCGAACGGGUGAGUAACACGUAGGUGAUCUACCCUCAAGACGGGGACAACCCAGGGAAACUUGGGCUAAUACCGGAUGAUAGCAGCAGUGAUGUUGUUUAAAAGAUGGCUUUCGGGCUGUCGUUUGGGGAUGAGCCUGCGUCCUAUUAGCUAGUUGGUAUGGUAAUGGCAUACCAAGGCGAUGAUAGGUAGGCGGCCUUAACGGGUGGUCGCCCACACUGGGAUUGAGAUACGGCCCAGACUCCUACGGGAGGCAGCAGUCGAGAAUAGUCUACAAUGGUCGGAAGACUGAUAGUGCGACGCCGCGUGAACGAUGAAGCCCUUCGGGGUGUAAAGUUCUUUUAUAUGUGAGCAGUGGGUUUUACGUUAAUAGCGUGGAAUCAGGGAUAUUAGCAUAUGAAUAAGCAACGGCUAACUCCGUGCCAGCAGCCGCGGUAACACAGGGGUUGCGAGCGUUGUCCGGAAUUACUAGGCGUAAAGGGCAGGUAGGCGGAUCUAUAAGUUUUUUGUCAAAUUCAACGGCUCACCCGUUGCGCGGCAGGAGAUACUGUAGAUCUGGAAUGCGGUUGGGGAAGACAGAAUUCCUGGUGUAGCGGUGGAAUGCGCAGAGAUCAGGAGGAAUACCGAAGGCGAAGGCAGUCUUCUAAGCCGUAANNGACGCUAAACUGCGAAGNUGUGGGUAUCAAACAGGAUUAGAUACCCUGGUAGUCCACACAGUAAACGAUAAUCACUGGGUGUCGGGUUCGUAGAGGAUUCGGUGCCGUAGCUAACGCGUGAAGUUGACCGCCUGGGGAGUACGGCCGCAAGGUUAAAACUCAAAGGAAUUGACGGGGACCCGCACAAGCGGUGGAUGAUGUGGUUUAAUUCGAUGCAACGCGAAAAACCUUACCCACCUUUGACAUGUAUGGAAGAUCGCAGAGACGCGAUUGUGCUCGAAAGAGAGCCAUAACACAGGUGCUGCAUGGCUGUCGUCAGCUCGUGUCGUGAGAUGUUGGGUUAAGUCCCGCAACGAGCGCAACCCUUGUCAUUAGUUGCUACAUUUAGUUGGGCACUCUAAUGAGACUGCCGGUGACAAACCGGAGGAAGGUGGGGAUGACGUCAAGUCCUCAUGGCCCUUAUAGGUGGGGCUACACACGUCAUACAAUGGCUGGUACAAAGGGUUGCCAACCCGCGAGGGGGAGCUAAUCCCAUAAAGCCAGUCGUAGUCCGGAUCGUAGUCUGCAACUCGACUACAUGAAGUCGGAAUCGCUAGUAAUCGCGCAACAUCAUGGCGCGGUGAAUACGUUCCCGGGCCU
rnacentral:rRNA from 1 species